rnacentral:misc_RNA from 1 species
CUAUACCAAGAUGGCGUGAAUAUUAAACGGUGGUGAUGGUACAAAGCUAAGUGUGGUGUAAUCGUUGGAUUGUUAGAGGUACUGGAAGAGAGAGAGCUGAGGCAGAGAGUGGGGUUUGUUUUGUGCAGCAUGGCUUCCAAACGGCCGGCUGACGAGUCUGGCUCAGCUGGUCCCUCAGCCAAGAAAGCUAUGACUCGCAUCGAGUCCAUGAAGAUGGGUCCAAUUUACAAUCUGGAACAACUUGAUCUUAAGGUUCUAGUUUUUCAAAACAAGAAGUUGGCUGAGCGGAUAGAACAGAGAAAGAAGGCUGAGAAUGAACUACACAAACGAAUAGAGCAGCUGGAAAAUCGACAGCGAACAGAUGAUGCUGUGCUCAUGAUUGUUAACAGAUACUGGAAUCAGCUGGAUGAAGAUGUUCGAGUUCUUUUACAGAGAUUAGAUGCUGAGACAGCAGAUGAAACAGAAACAAAAAAUGAAAGCAAUGAAACUACGUCCUUCCUGGCCAUGUUGUCGACUUGGGACAAACAGGAGUUGGAGGAGACGCUCGGACAGAGAGUUGAGUUUUCCAAGCGUGCUAUUGGCAAACUCCUGCAAGCAUUUGAUCGCAUGUUACAACGCAAUGAAAAGCUACACAAAGCUCUGGAGAAUAAAGCUGAGAAAGAAAAAGAAGAUCUGCUUGGACAGGCAUUGAAGUCCGGACAAGAUUCUACAGUGAAGAAGGAGGAAAAUGAAGAUGAUGAGAAAAAAGAGGAAGAUGAGAGUGGGGAUGAGAAGAAGGACGAGGAGAAGGAUGAGAUUCAGAAGAAGCUGGCUGAGGUGGAGGACGUCGUGAAGAGUGAGCUGGCCGACCUGCGCAAGGAGAACAAGCAGAUGCACAACCUGGUGACCCAGCUCCACCAGAGACACCAUGACCACACACUGCGGAUUUCUCAGCUGCAGGACAAGGUGACGUCGACAGAGACGGAGAUUGCUGAGUUGAAGAACGAGCUCGAUGAUCUGCAGUAUCAGUUUGAGAAGGCUGACCAGCGAUGUGAGAAGCUCGACCGCCUCCUGGCCGACGCCUACAACACCAUCAGGACAUACAAGGAAACAACUGGUGCUAUCAGGGUGGAAGGUGUGAAGAGCAUUGGAGGAACCAGGCUGGAUGAAAUAUUUUCUGAGUUGGAAGAACAGCGUGAGCUGGCAACAAACCGACUGACAGAGUUGGAGAAAAUAAACAAAGAUCAUCAGGAAGCCAAGAAAGAAGUUGAAAAAUUAAAAAUGGAUCUUCUGCACCUGCCCGAGUUGGUGAUUGUGGAGACGACGGAGUACAAAUGUCUUCAGUCGAAGUUUUCUGUCCUCUACAACGAGAGUCUUACCAUGAAGACGCAGCUGGAGGAGGCUCGGAACCAGCUUCAGAACACCAAGAACACUCACCUCCGUCACAUCGAACAGAUGGAGAGCGAUGAGCUCCUGUGUCAGAAGAAACUGAGGUCGGAGAUGAUUCAGCUGGAAGACAUGCUAGCUCAAGUGAGGAAAGAAUACGAAAUGCUGCGCAUUGAAUUUGAACAGACACUAGCAGCCAAUGAACAAACAGGAACCAUCAAUCGAGAAAUGCGAAAUCUCAUCCAGAGUCUACAAAAUCACAACCAGCAGUUGAAAAUGGAGUCUGUUCGGUAUAAGCGGAGACUGAAGGAGGCACAAGCUGAUAUUGCUAAGUUGAAAGCUGAAGGAGCUGCAUCAUCAACAUCGGCCCCAUUGUUAGCAUCAUCGUCAUCGGAACCAAAAGAACAGAAGGAGGAGGCAGCGGUUGCCACCCCGGUUGAAACGCCCCCGAAGCUAGUUGAGCCCGAGGUGAUUGUUGUGAAGGACCGUGAUGAGUGUGAUGAGGUGGAACAUAAGGAGAAGGGCAGGAUGGAGAGCGAUGUCGUCAGGGAGCUCAGAGCUCAACUCAAGAAAGCCCAGGACAGCCAGAAGGAGCUGAAGCUGUUGUUAGACAUGUACAAAAGUGCCCCCAAGGAACAGCGAGACAAAGUGAUGCUAAUGGCAGGUGAGAGGAAAGCCAAGCAGGAGAUAGAAGAUUUGAAGAACCACAUUAAGAAAAUGCAGGAGACUGAGCGUAAGGAUCGCCGGAAACUGGCCGAGGACGAUGCAAUAAAGAAGAUAAAGAGAAUGGAGGAGAUUAUUACUGAUCUACAAAAACAUUUAGCAGCUCAGAAACAGAGGGAGGAGGCGCUGCUGAAUGACCUGGAGGUCACAGGUCAGGCGUUUGAGGACAUGCAGGAACAGAACACACGCUUGUUGCAGCAACUCCGAGAGAAAGAUGAUGCCAACUUUAAGCUGAUGUCCGAGAGGAUCAAAUCUAACCAGAUCCACAAGCUGCUGAGAGAGGAGAAAGACAUCCUAGUGGAGCAGGUGGCCACGCUACAGUUCCAGGUGGACGCCCAGAACCUCGUCGUUCGCAAACUGGAGGAGAAGGAGCGCAUCUUACAGAGCAACCUGUCGGCCCUGGAGAAAGAACUCAGUUUGACACAGCAAGCAAUGGACAUGUACAAGCGGAAGGCUGUGGAGAGUUCCCAGACAGCAGCUGAUCUGAAGCUCCACCUCGACAAAUACCAGGCCCAGCUCAAAGAGGCACAGGUGGCCGUGGCCGACAAAACGGGAUCCAUUGAACAGGAGUCCUACAAGUAUAAGAGAACACAGGAGGAGAUUGCUAAAUUAAUGCGGAAGCUGGAGCGAAGUAAAAAGAUUGAGAUGGCUGGGGCUGCUGAUGAGGUUCUGUUGGAGGAAAUUAAAGAAUACAAGGAACAACUUACCUGUCCAUCUUGUAAAGUGAACAAGAAAGAUGCUGUACUGACCAAAUGUUUCCAUGUGUUUUGUCUCGAGUGCUUGAGGACACGGUAUGAAACCAGGCAGAGAAAGUGUCCAAAGUGUAACGCUGGUUUUGGAGCCAAUGACUUUCACAGACUUUAUAUAGGAUGAUGCUUAAUGUGUAUUAAUUUUAAACAACAAAUCAUGUGGCUUAAACACAAUGUAAAAACACUAUUUAUUUCAGUUUGGUAUAAUUGGGACCGAUCAGCAGGCAAAACCUUAUGUUAGAUUCAUUGAGUGUUUCUUAACCCUUUCAUCGCGUGAUGGCACACAGAGUGUGUCAAUUUGAUAAACAUGUGAUGUUGUGCUGCACACCACUAUUUCUUUGACAUCUUGGAAAGGCUCCGUUAAUUAUGUCAUUCCAGCACAGACACGAAAAGGUUAACAGCUGACAACAGUCGAAAGAAGAAAGAGUUGAAGCAAACAAAAAGGCAUUCAUUGUUUUAUUGUAGUUUUUUUAAACAAUAUUUACUGACGUUUGUAUUAACGUUGGGGAUUGACCAACAGGCGAUGUCUAUAUUAAGGUUGGUUGGCUGAGAUUAUAUUACCGGUAGUGUGCAUCAGGCAGGAGAGGAUAUUUUGUUGACUGAAAUUAUCUGAUAUGUUCUUCUUGUUGACCGUGUGCAGAGAUCUAGACUUCUUGUGACCAUGUAUGAGAAAAAGAGUACUGAUGAGGUAUUAUGUCAUUCAUAGUAAAGUCAUUCAUAGUAAACAUUGUUUAAAAUGACAUCAUGAGGAAGUUCAAUGUGUGACACAUGUAGGGCACCUGUUUGUUGGAAAUAAUAGAAAUAUUACAAGCAUUUUAUAUGUUACAUCAAAAGGAAAAGUGUUUUUAUUUUAUUAAUUGAUGUCCAUCUUUACUAAUGUAGUCUGUGCCUAGCAUGGGGAAAGUUUAGAUGGGGUGUGCUGGCGUAACACUGGGCUUUUCCCUCCGACAGUCGUGUAGAUAGCCAGCACUCAUUAGCCGAGGCUAUAAACACAAUGUGUGUAUGGUAGACAACUGAAACGGAGUGCUGCAUCAGGUACAGUACAAACAAGGUGGUCGGCAGUACAAAUCAAAAGAGGAGAACUAGCGGUCAGACCGAGCGGAAACUGUUAAAACAGCCUUGUGUAUUAUAUUAUAGAUUCUAAAUCUCUUUACACUCAGACUCUAUUGAAAUAAUGACAACUCUUAUCAUAAUAACAGGUUCAAGAUUCCAGUGUAUCACAUAUCAUUGAGCUGAAAUAUGUUGUCAACACUGACUAUUAAAAAAAAAAAAGUGAAAAUAACUUUUUGUUUUUUUCCUUGUCUGUAUGCUGUUAGUAUAUAUGGCCAGUGAAUAUACAUAGUUUUGAGAUGAGAGAUGUUGAAGGAAGACUGGAGCUGUGUCAAGUACCAACAAAACUUUAGUACAUUUGUCAUGUAUCAUUAUAAAUACACACAUAUACAUACACCAGUACUUAAAAGUGUCUUAAGUAUUUAUGACUUUUUUUCAUUGCUUGUCAGUUGCAUUUCAAUUUUCACUGAAGUCUAGAAAUAAUAUUAAGUUUCACAAAAUGGUUAAUUUUUUUUAGAGUGAUUACAUUUUUUUUUUUUUUUUAUGAUAGUGUUUGUCACAUGGAAAUGCAUUUGUACAUAUGUUUGAAUGUAUGAAUGAUGAUCAUCAAAAUAUAGAUGCAACUAUUUGACAUCCUGUGGUUUACAUGGUGUUAAUGCAGUUCGACCUUAAUAAAAUAAAGUGUAUACUAUUACAUAUUUCAAAUCAACUGCCUUGUACACUACACAACAGUGAUGUUCUAAUUAAUAAAAUUUGUCAAGCAUAACAUGCUUUAAUCAAUUAAUGAAGUGCAAGUUUAGGAUCAAAUAAAACUGAGUUACUUCCCUUACUGUUUAAUGUUCUAAUAAAUAGAACUUUACAGUUAUAUUCAUUUUAUAUUUCCACUUAUCCAGUGAUUGGCAGCAGUUCAUUAUUUAACAAACCAGACUUUCGAUGCUGCUCUUUAAUUUGUAUUUUCAUAAGAAAAUACAAGACUUAAAUAUAUAAACAUUUUGUCCAAACAAAUUUUUAUUUUUCAUUUGAUCUCUUAAUCUUUAUGUAUUAUUUAAUAGUGUGUGUGUAUGUAUAUGUACGUGUAUAUGUAUAUGUAUAUGUUAUAUAAAAUACCAGUGAUUAUUAAUUAAUGCUGACUUGUCGCAAAAUUUUAUACGCUUACUAACACUACUAUGCAUUCAAAAAAUAUUGAUCAUUGGAACAACCAGAUUUCAAAAUUAAUAUGUUCUCUUUUGUUCACUCUAUCAAACAUUGGGUUGCCAUAUAUCCAUCUGUUUAGACAAAAUAGUAAUCAAAGUCACUGCAAUGAAUCAUAGAAUGAGAAACCCCUGACCAGUAUGUCAUACUGUACCAUUGUACUUAGUGUUUCAUGGCACAGCACAGGUAUAAACGAUUGUUGAGCCCAAAUGAUUUUCUCUGACAACACAUGAAAUGAAAUCACCAAUUUUCUUUCCUCUUUACAAAGUAAAUAGGCAAGAUAUAUGUACCAGUAUUCUUUUUCUGGUGGGGAUUGUGUUAACUUUUGUGUUUAAAUUUCACUUUGAGUUCCAUUUCUCACAAACUUUAAGUCCUAGGUCAAUGACACCUGGUUUCAUAGAUGUUCAUUACAGUGUAUAUGAAAAAGAGAGAAUUAAAUACAAAAUUUAAUUGAAUUUUUAUUUAUUUAAAAAAAAAAAGUUAUUUAUUUGUUAAAUUUUUAUUGAGAUGAACAUAUGGAUGCAGCCGUGGAAUACGUUUGUGGUAAGCGAGACAUUAAAUGCAGCAGAAUUCUUGUUAAAUAUUAUAUGGGCUGUUUCAGAUGUAAUGCUUAAAAUGUCUGGAAAUAAAAAUAUUAUUUUACUUAGAUUCCUCAAAUCGCCUCAGUCACCUGUCUCUGUAAUGCAAUGGUUAAAUCUCUGGGUUUAGGUUGGUGUACCUAAGUGACUGACCUUGGUAAUACUGUGGUUAAAUCUCUGGGUUUAGGUUGGUGUACCUAAGUGACUGACCUUGGUAAUACUGUGGUUAAAUCUCUGGGUUUAGGUUGGUGUACCUAAGUGACUGACCUUGGUAAUACUGUGGUUAAAUCUCUGGGUUUAGGUUGGUGUACCUAAGUGACUGACCUUGGUAAUACUGUGGUUAAAUCUCUGGGUUUAGGUUGGUGUACGUAGAGUGAAUACAUUCCUCAGCAAGGUUAUUGACUUCUUUCUCAUCAAAAGCUAACCAUUAACAAUUACUGUCCUCGACAGAUAGAAUCCAGAUAGCUGACGGACCCAUAUUUUCAAAGCUAUCUUAGCACUAUAGUAUGUAAAGCUAUCAUAGACUGGCAUGUGUCGUAGUUACGUCAUAGCCUACGAUGGUUUUAUGAUAUUGUAGGGCUAAAAUAGCUUGGAAAAUCGGUGGUCUGGACAGCAUGCUUGAACUACAAGUAAAUAUAAAACCAAAAAUCUAUAAUAUAGUUCUGCAAGUUGAUGUAAAGCUUGUCUCCAUAUGUGAUUAGAUGUGUAUAUUGUGUGGAUGUGAUGGAACAAAUGUGGCUACUGUUAAAAUGUGCUUUUUGUGUUUGUAACAUUGUGUGUGGUGCGGUAGGUGAAACCGAAGCAGCAUGGUAUUUCAGCAAUAAAGUAAAAUUGAACAUAAAAAA